UACAUCGAGAAGGAAGAUCUUACCCAAAAAAACAUAGACAAAGGCCCACCAAAGAACGCCUUACGAGGUCAAAAGAAGAAAAAAACGAAUGGCCAAACAACGUUAAAAAAUUCAGAAGAGUUGACUGAAAAAGAAGACCCGUUCAUUACCUACAUUAAUAACACGGAGGAUAACAAAGUGAUGGUGCAUAUUGAAGAAGUGGAGGUUAAACGGAUAAGAAUGAAAGUACUAACACAACCAGCUUUCUUGAAUGAUGAUGUCAUGGAUGCAUACAUCCAAUGCCUCCGCUAUAAAGAGAAAGGAAUCAGGGGAGAUGGCAAGGCCUUCCUAGAGAUGGCCAUUAAAACAGGUCUACUAAAUGUAGAGGGAGCGCAUGUCGAAGCAAGCGAACCUCGAGAUAAACGAUGGAUUAGAGAUAUGGCACGCGGCUAUCUAGCAUUUGACAUGAAGGAAGUGAAAACAUUUCGACAGGACUUAGCCGGAAUUUUGAUCAACUCCGAACUGAACAACAUUAAAGAUCGUCCACUGCUACCAACCACGACAUAA
rnacentral:lncRNA from 1 species